UACAGAGGGUGCAAGCGUUAAUCGGAAUUACUGGGCGUAAAGAGCGCGCAGGCGGUCGUUCAAGUCGAAUGUGAAAGCCCCCGGCUCAACUGGGGAAGGUCAUUCGAUACUGUUCGGCUUGAAGAUAGGAGAGGGAAGCGGAAUUUCAGGUGUAGUGGUGAAAUGCGUAGAUAUCUGAAGGAACACCAGUGGCGAAGGCGGCUUUCUGGCCUAUUCUUGACGCUGAGGCGCGAAAGCUAGGGGAGCGAACGGG
rnacentral:rRNA from 1 species